AUGGAUCUUGGGCGUCCUGCUAGCUGCAAAGAUGGAAGCAUGUUCAUGUGCCCUAGGCUUUACACCGCAGCUUUCGAGGGGCAAACGGAGGAGGUCACCGGGCUCCUGAUGGGAAGCAGCGUUGAUGCGCCGGCAGCAGCAAGGAACGGCCGGCCAUCGACGGCAGUUAAUCACCGUGGACCCUGCACGGCGCAGGAGGUGACCGCGGAGCGAAACACCCUUCUCCACAUCGCCGCGGGGCAGGGCCACGGUGGCCUCAUCGCCGAGCUCUGCUACCGGGACAGCUCCCUCCUCUCCUCCGUCAACAAGGCGCUGGACACGCCGCUGCACAGCGCGGCUAGGGCAGGCGGCGCCAACGCCGUCGAGGACAUCGUCCGGUUGGCCCGAGCUAACUGCCUGGAGGAAGGCGGGGUUAUUAUCCGCGGGAAGAACGUGGCCGGAGACACUGCCAUGCACCUGGCCGCGAGGCACGGCCAUGGGGCGGCGGUGGAGAAGCUUGUGAAGCUGGCACCGGAGCUGGCGUCGGAGCUGAACCGCGCCGGCGUGUCGUCUCUAUACCUGGCGGUGACGAGCGGCUCGGUGGAUGCCGUCAGAGCGAUUGUCUCGCACGGUGACGCGUCGGCAGCCGGACCCAAUCAGCAGAAUGCUUUGCACGCCGCUGUUCUCGAAAGUUCAGAGAUGGUUGAUUUGCUUUUGCAAUGGAGGCCCGCGCUUGGUAGCGACCUAGACAUAAACAAGAGCAGCCCACUGCAUUUUGCUUCAUCUGAUGGUGAUUGUUCGGUCAUCGAAAAGAUCAUAACUCAUUCACCACCCAACACUACAUACCUACAGGACAGUGAAGGCCUCUCGGCUUUAAGCGCCGCUGCACUCAUGGGACAUGUAUCUGCCGUCCGCUUGUUGCUACGAUUUCACCCUGCUUGCGCAGACGUUCGUGAUAACCAUGGCAGGACCUUCCUGCAUGCAGCAGCUAUGAAAGGGCACUCUUCAAUCGUGUCCUAUGUUAUAAAGGACAUUAUGCUGGAACAUCUUUUGAACACACAAGACAACGAAGGGAAUACGCCACUCCAUUUGGCCGUGGUUGCAGGGGAGCACAAAGUUAUCUACAAGCUGCUGUCAAGUGGAAAAGUGCGUGCCCACAUUAUGAACGAUGCCGGUUGUACCCCUUCUGAUCUCAUCGAGAAUUCAACGGGUUUCUACUCAAUGGCAAGUCUAGUGGUAGAACUGUAUGUGAUGGGAGCACGGUUCAGGCCACAGAGGCAAGACCAUAUAGAGAAGUGGAAUGGUCAAGACAUAAUGAAAUGGCGAGAGACUACAUCUAAAAAUAUUGCGGUUGUUUCCACCCUCGUGGCCACUGUCGCUUUCUCGGCCGCGUUCAAUGUGCCUGGAUCAUACGGAUCAAGUGGAAAGGCAAAUCUGAGUGGGCACCGUCGGUACGAUGCUUUCAUGGUACUAGACACCAUUGCCAUGACAACUUCAGUGAUUGCAACGAUACUACUGAUCUACGGAAGAGCUUCGCGGUCUCAUCGCUCAUGGCUAGGCUUUAUGGUUGCAAUGCACUUCCUUUGGUUGUCACUUAAUAGCAUGAUGUUAGCCUUCUUCACAGCCAUGGUCGCGGUGAUGAGAGAGAAAAACUCAAUGAAGGUAGCAUUAACUCAGGUAAUCUACAAUGGGUUGUACAUCUUGAUGACACUACUUGCAAACCUUGCAACACCUAGAUCGCUUCUAGGUGUUAUGCAGCUUCUGGUUGGCAGUUGCUUUGAAAGGCGGCGGCGUGCUAAGAGACGCAUAAGUCGGCAGUUUCCCUUCGUUAUCUUUUAUGCACUAAAUGUGGUUGUGUUCAUAGUCGUAAAUACUUUGGCCCUUUCUGCAAUUCAAGUCACGGGUGGUAUGUAG
rnacentral:rRNA from 1 species